rnacentral:rRNA from 1 species
UACGAAGGGGGCUAGCGUUGCUCGGAAUGACUGGGCGUAAAGGGCGCGUAGGCGGUCCGGUAAGCGCGUGGUGAAAGCUCGGGGCUCAACCCCGAGUCGGCCGUGCGAACUGCGGGACUGGAGCAGAUCAGAGGCAGGCGGAAUUCCGGGUGUAGCGGUGGAAUGCGUAGAUAUCGUAAGGAAGACCAGUGGCGAAGGCGGAUCUCUGGACAGUUACUGACACUGAGGCACGAAGGCCAGGGGAGCAAACGGG